UACAGAGGGUGCGAGCGUUGUCCGGAAUCACUGGGCGUAAAGGGCGCGUAGGUGGUGGCUUAAGCGUGCGGUGAAAGCUCGGGGCUCAACCCCGAGUCGGCCGUGCGAACUGGGCUCACUGGAGCAUAGUAGAGGCAGGUGGAAUUCCGGGUGUAGCGGUGGAAUGCGUAGAGAUCCGGAAGAACACCGGUGGCGAAGGCGGCCUGCUGGGCUCAUGGCUGACACUGAGGCGCGACAGCGUGGGGAGCAAACAGG
rnacentral:rRNA from 1 species